UUUGAUUUAAGAAUUGACUUUUACCGAUCAGUUUUCCUGGUGCAACCUGGCCCGACGCCAAGGCGUGCUCCUAAGAGGGUUAAAUCAAUACUUAAACUUGACAAGUUGGAUGAUAUUAGCAAUGAGUGGAUUGAUUCUGACGUGCUAAUAUUUAAUUCUGGGCACUGGUGGACACCAAGUAAACUUUUUGAAAUGGGCUGCUAUUUUCAGAUUGGUGCUUCACUGAAGCUUGGAAUGCCUAUCACUACUGCCUUCAAAACAGCAUUAAACACGUGGGUAUCCUGGGCUGAGACUACCAUCAAUGCAAAUAAAACAAGUUUAUUCUUCAGGACUUUUGAAUCUUCCCAUUGGAGUGGCCGG
rnacentral:misc_RNA from 1 species